UCCGAGUUGACCCCGACAGUCUCCUACGAGUCCCCGGCAUUAUCCGCUGGCAACAUAGGACAAGGGUUGCGCUCGUUGCGGGACUUAACCCAACAUCUCACGACACGAGCUGACGACAACCAUGCACCACCUGUGAAAGUGUCCCGAAGGAAAGCCAUAUUUCUAUGGCGGUCACUUACAUGUCAAGCCCAGGUAAGGUUCUUCGCGUUGCGUCGAAUUAAACCACAUGCUCCGCUGCUUGUGCGGGCCCCCGUCAAUUCCUUUGAGUUUUAGCCUUGCGGCCGUACUCCCCAGGCGGGGUGCUUAAUGCGUUAGCUUCGGCACGGACGGGGUCGAUAUCCGCCCACACCUAGCACCCAACGUUUACGGCUAGGACUAC
rnacentral:misc_RNA from 1 species